UACAGAGGGGGCAAGCGUUGCUCGGAAUCACUGGGCGUAAAGGGCUCGUAGGCGGCCAACUAAGUCGGAUGUGAAAUCCCCAGGCUCAACCUGGGAACUGCAUCCGAUACUGGAUGGCUUGAAUCCGGGAGAGGGAUGCAGAAUUCCAGGUGUAGCGGUGAAAUGCGUAGAUAUCUGGAGGAAUACCGGUGGCGAAGGCGGCAUCCUGGACCGGCAUUGACGCUGAGGAGCGAAAGCUAGGGGAGCAAACGGG
rnacentral:rRNA from 1 species